UACAGAGGUGGCAAGCGUUGUUCGGAAUUACUGGGCGUAAAGGGCGCGUAGGCGGCCAUCUAAGUCAGACGUGAAAUCCCCCGGCUUAACCUGGGAACUGCGUCUGAUACUGGAAGGCUUGAGUAUGGGAGAGGGAUGUAGAAUUCCAGGUGUAGCGGUGAAAUGCGUAGAUAUCUGGAGGAAUACCGGUGGCGAAGGCGGCAUCCUGGACCAUUACUGACGCUGAGGCGCGAAAGCUAGGGGAGCAAACGGG
rnacentral:rRNA from 1 species